CUUGCCAAAUAGACCAUGGCACUAAGUGUCACCUACACUUUUUUCUUAAACACCCCCAAGGAUGGAGACUCCACCACCUCCCCAGACUGGCAAACCGUUCUGAUGCUCAAUCACUCUUUCUGUGAAAAACUUCUUCCUAAUGUCCAGCUUAAACUUCCCCUGGCACAGCUUAAGACUGUGUCUUCUUGUCCUGAUGCUGAUUGCCUGGGAGGAGAGACUGACCCCCACCUGGCUACACCCUCCUUUCAGGCAGUUGUAAAGAAUGAUAAGACAGUUCACCAGCCUUAUUGCCUUUCUCUGGACACAAUCAAGCAUCUCAACAUCCUUCAUAAACUGAGGGGCCCAGAACUGGACACAGUACUCAAGGUACAGCCUCACCUGUGGACCUGGACAGAUGAUAUAAGGCUACGUGGCAAAAGGCAGUAACAGUUGGGGGUACCCAAUUAAUACCAUCCCAGGAGUUGUCAGCCCAUCAAAGACCCAGCUGCACAAGACUGGCUAAAAUGGUUGUCUCUAGGUGUUCUCCUUCUCCCAGUCUUCAAAAGAGUCCUAGAUUACUAGAACUGAAUCCUCUCAGUUCCCAGAAAUGUGGCAAUAAUUAGGCUGGAAGGAAGGAAGAGAUGAACAGGGAGUGAAAAAAAAAGUCAAAACAAAGACUGAAGAGAUUCCAAUUACUUAUUACAUCUCCUCAUGUAUUCUUGCUUAAGCUGAUAACCUGACUGUUGAAUUUGAAGCUUAACACUCUAAUUGAAGAGAAGUAAGGCAAAUUUUUAUUAUUUAUCUUGAGAGAGGAACUAAUGAAACAGAAAUAUCUUCCCUAGAAAGGUCAGAAAAGGUAAAAAUGGUUGGAAAACAGAAAGUAUUAGAAUCAACAUCUGUUACUUUUGGUACAAAGACUUCCUAUAUUUACACCAAAAUGUUCAUCUAAAAGAUUUUUUUACCAAUUUUUUACCAAUAUGAAAAUCUGUAAGGU